rnacentral:rRNA from 1 species
UACGGGGGGGGCAAGCGUUGUUCGGAAUUACUGGGCGUAAAGGGCUUGUAGGUGGCCAACUAAGUCAGACGUGAAAUCCCCGGGCUUAACCUGGGAACCGCAUUUGUGACUGCAUAGCUGGAGUACGGCAGAGGGGGAUGGAAUUCCGCGUGUAGCAGUGAAAUGCGUAGAUAUGCGGAGGAACACCGAUGGCGAAGGCAGUCCCCUGGGCCUGUACUGACGCUCAUGCACGAAAGCGUGGGGAGCAAACAGG